UCAUGCACAAGUUAAGUCGAAGAAUACUCGUAGAGGUGAUUAUUUUCAGUUUCAGUAGUGAACCGUAUGCGGUAGCACCAAAAUAAAAACCAUUUAUUAUUGUAUUCUUCCUUAAUUACUAUGUAUACUGGAAAUGGGAACAAAAUGUGUGAUCUUCAAGCAUUCCUGAAAUGAAUACCUACAUAAAUAAAAAAGUUAUCAUAUGUGGGAAAAAUUCGCGCAUAUCGCAGUCAGCUGAUGUCAGAUAACACCCUUUAGUGAUCAUGUGAGCAAUAUUGUAAGACUUGCGUAGUAGCUAUGUAUGUAUGUACGUACAUACAUACAUCGUAAAAGCCUCUAUACAUAGAAAGGCAACGCCUUAGUGAGUGAGUUUUGAGACACAUGAAUGUAUGUAAACAAAU